GUGAAGACAACCCCUUUUUGGAUGUGUAUAGAAUUUUGUCAUAAGAUCUGUGUUUUCCCCAUUAAAAUUAGGUGUAGUAUUCUGCCAUACGCAUGUGUGAAUGAGUACUGCCCUCCAAGCUUGUAUUUCUGCUGUGUCCAUUCCUUGUCUUCAUACCUGAGAGAAAACAUUGCUGUCUGCUGAAUUUAAACCACAACAACUGGGAAAUCAUUAUUUAGUGAAGAACCAG